rnacentral:rRNA from 1 species
UGGGGAAUUUUGGACAAUGGGGGAAACCCUGAUCCAGCCAUCCCGCGUGUGCGAUGAAGGCCUUCGGGUUGUAAAGCACUUUUGGCAGGAAAGAAACGUCAUGGGUUAAUACCCCGUGAAACUGACGGUACCUGCAGAAUAAGCACCGGCUAACUACGUGCCAGCAGCCGCGGUAAUACGUAGGGUGCAAGCGUUAAUCGGAAUUACUGGGCGUAAAGCGUGCGCAGGCGGUUCGGAGAGAAAGAUGUGAAAUCCCAGAGCUCAACUUUGGAACUGCAUUUAUAACUACCGGGCUAGAGUGUGUCAGAGGGAGGUGGAAUUCCGCGUGUAGCAGUGAAAUGCGUAGAUAUGCGGAGGAACACCGAGGGCGAAGGCAGCCUCCUGGGAUAACACUGACGCUCAUGCACGAAAGCGUGGGGAGCAAACAGG